UGUCUAUGUGUGGCAUUUUCAGUAUAGAAGUCCUGAGUAAACACGUUGUCGUUGAAUACCGCUUCUCUGCCGAACCUUAUAUUAGUGCCUCAAGCAGUAAUGUCUCAGUUUUAACUCAGUAAAUGCCUGCGGGCGAAGAAAACUCUCUAAGGAAUUUUGCAAAUGGCAAAGAUUAAAGGUCAAGUUAAGUGGUUCAACGAGUCUAAAGGCUUUGGUUUCAUUACUCCUGCAGACGGCAGCAAAGAUGUGUUCGUACACUUCUCUGCAAUCCAGGGUAAUGGCUUCAAAACCCUGGCUGAAGGCCAGAACGUUGAGUUCGAAAUUCAGGACGGCCAGAAAGGUCCGGCUGCUGUUAACGUAACCGC
rnacentral:sRNA from 1 species